rnacentral:lncRNA from 1 species
AAAAAAAAAAAAAAAAAAAAAAGAAGGUUGAAGGAGUUCCCUUUGUGGCACAGCGGACGUGAAUCUUACUAGGAACCCUAAGGUUGCGGGUUCGAUCCCUGGCCUUGCUUAGUGCGUUAAGGAUCCAGCCAUGAGCUGUGGUGUGGGUCACAGACACGGCUCAGAUCCUGCAUUGCUGUAGCUGUGGUGGAGGCCAGCAGCUGUAGCUCUGAUUGGACCCCGAGCCUGGGAACCCCCAUGUGCCACGGAUGUGGCCCUAAAAAGCAAAACAAUCAAACAAAAAGUGGCGACAUUUCAUCCAAGACCUGAAUGAAAGGAGGCAGGACCGUGCCUGGACGGUUCAGGGGGCAGCAGGGUAUGCGAGCAUGGCUGGAAGCCAGCGGACGGCAGGGGUGUUGCCGAGGGGCUCGCAGUCAUUGGUGAGGAAGACAUGAGAGGGUUUGAGCCAGAGCGAUGCAAGGUCAUGGCUUUUUUACAUUUUCAAAUUAGAAAAAUUAUUUUUAAAAAAUUUUAUUGGAGUAUAGUUGACUUACAGGGUUGUAUUAGUUUCAGGUGUAUAGCAGAGUGAAUCAGUUAUAUAUAUAUAUAUAUACACACACGUAUAUAUCCAUUCUUUUCCCCAUGCAGGUUAUUACAGAAUAUUGAGUAGAAUGCCCUGUGCUAUGCAGUAGGUCCUUGUUACAUAUCUAUUUUAUCUACAGUAGUGUGUAUAUGUUUACCCUGCACCCCUAAUUUAUUCCUUCCCACCACAGUUUCCACUUGGGUUACCCUGAGAUUUCAAAAUCUGUGAGUUUUCUUCUGUUCUAUAACUAAGUUCUUUUGUAUCAUUUUUAUUAAAUAAGUGAUAUCCUAUAAUAUUUGUCUUUCUCCCUUGUAUUUCACCUAGUAUGAUAAUCUCUAGGUCCAGCCAUAUUGCUGCAAAUGGCAUUAUUUCAUUUUUUAUGGCCAAGUAAUACUCCAUUAAGAUUUUUUUUUAAAAAACGUGAUCACUGUGCUUUGGUGUUACACACGGGCUGUGUUGAUUCGUUGCCACGUUUUCAAGGUACCAGGCCUCUUAGUGUUAAGGAAAAACAGCUGUCGCCACUGUCUUUGUGGAGCUUCAGCUGAAGGUGGAAGAUGGAUGGACCCAAAGAAACACCAGUGUAAGUGUGAAAUAAUGGAAAGUGGUAUCAGAAAGUACACGGUUGGAGUUCCCGUCGUGGCUCAGCAGUUACCGAACCUGACUAGUAUCCAUGAGGGCACAGGUCGAUCCCAGGCCUUGCUCCGUGGGUUAAGGAUCUGGUGUUGGCGUGAGCUGUGGUGUAGGUCAGAGACACAGCUUGGAUCCUGUGUGGCUGUGGUGUAGGCCGGCGGGUACAGAUUGGAUUCAACCGCUAGCCUGGGAGUCUCCAUAUGCUGCAGGUGUGGCC